UUAAAACCUUCCUAUCAGUGGAAUAUUCAAAGUUUCAAAAUCACAUGAUAAUGUAGAUGAAAGCUCCAAUAAGAUCAGAAAAAUAUCAACACAAAAAUCAUUUGAUGAACGCAAUACAAGCCAGUAUAGUCGAAAUAUUUGGGAUUCUAACAAAAAAGGAUAAAUUCUAUGAGUUCUUUUCUUUCCUUCUAAAACACACAAAAAGAACCCAAUAACCCAAAUAUUCAUGUCUUAUGCCAGAGCUUCCAGAGUGUUAAAAUAGCAUCUAAAACUUCUAACAGAUAGGCAGACAAAUCUUGGUGGGAAGUAGGAAUUGGAAAUUUACAGAUUAACUAGAAGAAAAUGAAACUUAUUUACAAGAUAUGAUACUACAUAUUUUUGUUCCGAGUGGGAAGUGGGAGAUCUGAUUCAAAUCCCGUAAUCGGUUGCUAUACAAUGAACUAAAAUAGAUUUGGCAUUCUCGCCACCCACCCACCCAUUCCAUUCUUCCCUUUCAAAUUUGUGCAGCAAUUGAGUUUAAUUUCCAAAGACUCAGAUGCUACACAUACAAUUCCACAAAUGGGCAAAUUUGAAACAACUUCAUGCAGCCAAAAAAUUAAAAAAAUUAAGGAAUUCUGAUCAUUUCACCAACAAAAUCAAAAAGUCAAACUGAAGAAGAUAUUCAAACUAAAGACUCUAAUAGAAGGCAAUACUUGUACAAUUGGGCUCCAGAUUAAAAAAAUAUAUAGUAACAAAACCAGAUAACAUAACUACAAGUUUCUAACAACAUGACAAAGAAGAUGUACAUGAAAAUAAAAAGGAAAGAAAAAAUUUCGUAAUCAAAGUAGGAGAACUCAGGACCAAACACAUCUACUUGUAAUUAUUUGUAAAGCUCAAUCAAAGUAUAUACGAGAAAAAUUAAGGAACCCAUGUCAGAGAAAAACUUAUAACGCAAAGAAAAGCAAAAAACAAACACAUAUAUAAGAAAUGACGGGAUAAAUCUUGCAUGAAAUUGUUACCUUAGAAAAAUGCAGAAGAUAGAAAAUUUCCCACAAAUGAUUCGAAUCAGAAAAAAUUAAGAUCUGGGUUUUUGAGAUCACAAUCAAUUUGGAAAAAGACGAUUAUAUAUUGGUAGAAGAAGGUAUUGUUUACCUAUCAGCGCGAGAUUCUGAGGAGAGAGACUGGUCAAACUUCUGACUUCAGCGGAAGCGCAAUACAUUCAGACGAAAGUCAGAUUCGGCUGCUUAUAGUUUUUACCAAUCGCACUUUGGCCGUUGAUUUACCCACAUGCCCUUCACGGGGACAAAAUCUCUG
rnacentral:lncRNA from 1 species